rnacentral:tmRNA from 1 species
GGGGGCGACCAGGUCUCGACGUGGUCGGUUCUCCGGCUGAGCUGCAAGCCGAGGUCCCCGGUCGGCCUCGUAAAACAACCGGGACAAACGCAAGUGCGAAGAACGAUCUCGCACUCGCUGCCUAACUAACACUUAGGUGGCGCGUCGCUCGGAGCUGGGCCCGUGGCUCCGGCAAGCGGCGCCAACGAACGGGCUCGGCGCGGAGGGAGAGCCAAUCGCCCGAAGCGCGACCACCAAAGGAUGGCUGGCCCGCCGGUUGGUCGGUUGCCACCGGCCGCCGGGCGAGAUCCAAGGCAGCCUAAGCUUGUAGAGGCUCUGUCCGGUGCGACCGCGGACGCGGGUUCGAUUCCCGCCGCCUCCACUC